UCCUACGGGGCGCAGCAGUGAGGAAUAUUGGUCAAUGGCCGAGAGGCUGAACCAGCCAAGUCGCGUGAGGGAAGACGGCCCUACGGGUUGUAAACCUCUUUUGUCGGGGAGCAAAGCGAACCACGUGUGGUUCAUUGAGAGUACCCGAAGAAAAAGCAUCGGCUAACUCCGUGCCAGCAGCCGCGGUAAUACGGAGGAUGCGAGCGUUAUCCGGAUUUAUUGGGUUUAAAGGGUGCGUAGGCGGACAGUCAAGUCAGCGGUAAAAAUGCGGUGCUCAACGCCGUAAAGCCGUUGAAACUGGCAGU
rnacentral:rRNA from 1 species